AAAUGACUGCCUUGUUCGGGUAAGUAUAGUUAUUAUAAUCCUACACUUAUUUUCAGGGAAUCUGAUGCUCUGACUGAGGAUUGCAGACCUCCCGUUUCCGGUGGAGUGAUCUCAGCCGGAUUCGGACGUUGGGAGCGAGAGACUUUCAGGCGGAUACCCACCUUGCGGCAACGCUAGGUUUUAUUCUCUAUACGACGGCAAGGCGGUUUUUUU
rnacentral:other from 1 species